AUAACAGGGCUAUAGAAUAUAGAGGUCAUAACAGGGUUACUGUAGAAUACAGGACUAUAGAAUAUAGAGGUCAUAACAGGGCUAUAGAAUAGUGGUCAUAACAGGGCUAUAGAAUAGUGGUCAUAACAGGAAUAUAGAAUAGUGGUCAUAACAGGACUAUAGAAUAGUGGUCAUAACAGGACUAUAGAAUAGUGGUCAUAACAGGACUAUGGAAUAUAGAGGUCAUAACAGGGCUAUGGAAUAUAGAGGUCAUAACAGGGCUAUGGAAUAUAGAGGUCAUAACAGGGCUAUAGAAUAUAGAGGUCAUAACAGGACUAUAGAAUAUAG
ensembl:lncRNA